rnacentral:rRNA from 1 species
AUUGAACGCUGGCGGCAUGCCUAACACAUGCAAGUCGAGCGAGCGGCGGACGGGUGAGUAAUGUCUGGGAUACUUCCUGAUGGAGGGGGAUAUCUACUGGAAAUGGUAGCUAAUACCGCAUACUAUCAGAUGUGCCCUGAUGGGAUUAGCUAGUAGGUGGGGUAACGGUUCACCUAGGCGACGAUCCCUAGCUGGUCUAAGAGGAUGACCAGCGAGACUGGAAGUGAGGCACGGUCCAGACUCCUAAGAGGGGCAGCAGUGGGGAAUGUUGCACAAUGGGCGCAAGCCUGAUGCAGCCAUGCCGGGUAUGUGAAGAAGGCCUUCGGGUUGUAAAGCGCUUACAGCGGGGAGGCGUUACCCGCAGAAGAAGCACCGGCUAACUCCGUGCCAGCAGCCGCGGUAAUAC